GACGGAGGAGGCAAGCGGUAUCCGGAGUUAUUGGGCGUAAAGGGUACGUAGGCGGCUGGUCAAGUCUGGGGUCAAAGGUCACAGCUCAACUGUGGGAAGGCCCUGGAAACUGACCGGCUAGAGUGAGGUAGGGGUUGCGGGAAUUCCCGGUGUAGCGGUGAAAUGCGUAGAGAUCGGGAAGAACACCUGAGGCGGAAGCGCGCAACUGGGCCUCAACUGACGCUGAGGCCCGAAAUCUAGGGGAGCGAAUGGG
rnacentral:rRNA from 1 species